rnacentral:rRNA from 1 species
UACGUAGGGCGCGAGCGUUGUCCGGAAUCAUUGGGCGUAAAGAGCUCGUAGGCGGCCGGUUGCGUCUGCUGUGAAAUCCCGGGGCUUAACCCCGGGCGUGCAGUGGAUACGGGCAGACUAGAGGCAGGUAGGGGAGAAUGGAAUUCCCGGUGUAGCGGUGAAAUGCGCAGAUAUCGGGAGGAACACCGGUGGCGAAGGCGGGUUGCUGGGCCGACACUGACGCUGAGGCGCGAAAGCCAGGGGAGCAAACGGG